CCAAAACUAAUCCAUUAUCAGCCCAUGCCAACAACAAACCCAAUUCCCAACCGUCCCACUCCUCUCACCAACUCAACAACAAAUUAACAACAACAGGCCCAAUUCCUUAAAGCCACCAGCCCCUAAAUCGGCCCAAAUUCAAACACUUAACCCGGCCCGCCACUUCACAUUUUCCCCUUCAUCAAACAUCGGGACAGCUCAUACAAUGGUAUCAUCGACAAAACGAUGACCUAAACCCGUACAUGCCUGACCCGUUCAAACAAUGGGAAAUUCACCGGAUUCUAAUCCUAAGUCACCACCUCCAACCCUUUCUCGACCCAAAUACGUUAACCCGGGGUCGAAUUAACCCAUUGGUGACCUUCUUCAUGCAUUCACGCAUCCCACACAUAUCCGUACGGAGAAGAUGCCAAGAAUUUUCUAGAAAGGGGGUGAGGUGUCACCCCCAAAGGUUCAGGUCCGUGAAUCUCGGGUGAAGAGUACGAUUUGGUACAUAUUUGGUGAUUUUUCAUUGGUCCUUGGAGGAGAAUUGGUUUUCCCCAAUUCUAUUGGUCCACCAUUUGGAAGAAUACAAAAUUUGGUACCAAUGGGAGAUGAAGGGAAAGCUGUGAAAGAUUCCAAAAAUUUUGAAAAAGGGGAUCCGUUUUUUCCAAACCCUUAAGGGACCCCUCCUUAUUGGUUUUGUUAUAAAUAGACCUCUUGGUCGCCGCAACAGGGGAGUUUUUUUUUUGUUUUUGGGGGGGAGUGGAAAAACUGAAGGUUAGAAGUUCUAGUUUUCUGGGGAAAACUGAAGAAUUUUCUUUCGAGGGACUGGUUCGAACAGUGGGGUCAAAACUGUGAAAAAUUUCUCUUUCGUUCGUCUUUUCGGGAAGCUGAUCGAUCAAUCGAAAAUUCCUGAAUAGACAACCUCAACUCUCGGUGGUAACGGUCCUGCUGAUAGCUCGUCGUCCCGUUUUGCUGCCCUUAAAAAGGAUGUCAUUUAAGAAGGUUUCACAGUUUAGGUAGCAUCUAUACGUAAGUCAUUUUCUUCGUUGUUCUGUGGCAUCAAGUUGGUGUAGAUCAGGAUCUUAUUUUCUUUUCUCUUAAUUGGGUACUUACUGAAGUAAUUAGUGGGUGACAAAAAUGUUAUUUAGCUGCACUAUCCUCGUCACCCUCAAACUUGAAUUUUAGGGAAAUGGAUUAGUAAUAUGGCUAUGAACGCACCUCUUCAUGCUUUGAUUAAAAGGUAUCAUUUUGCUGGACUUUUGUUCUCACCGUUUCGUGUAUUAAUGCCUAUGUUUAUUAGCCUAGGAAAAUAAAGAUGUCAUCUUAGGAAUUAAAAAGUUGUUCUUUGGUAAUAAAUUCCCAGUUUGCUUGUGUUCUUAGCCUUCUGCGUCAAAUAUAUCAUCACUGUUUAUUUUCCUCCAAAAACAAAAAUAUAUCUUCUCUUGUACUCGUUGUUGAAAUUGGUU
rnacentral:lncRNA from 1 species